rnacentral:misc_RNA from 1 species
AAAAUUAUUUUCCAUGUAGUCUCUUCCAAGUCGCUCCAUUUCAUCACCUUCACUAUUCCGCUUAUAGCUAACCAAUUCUAUAUCCACUUUUGCCUUCCUUGGACUCAUCAACACCAACUCACACAAUUUCCUCCUUGCCAGAUACAAAUCAUUUGGCUCUACCAAUUCCCCCUUCCUAUAGGCCUCCCUAAGAAACACCGUGUGCAGCUUACCAUGAUUCCCUCUUGUUGAAACAUAGAAUAUCCCCUGAUGCUGAAGGCAAAACUCCUUCAACUUCUUAGGUAAAUUCAUANNNUGUGCUAUCCUCUCCAGUGUGAUUUUCUUCUCCACCGUCAUUGACAACAAUUCAUGAAUAGUUGCCACUGCUCUCUUCUCCAAUCUUUUCUGAGCCUCAAUUGACCUCAGAUCAUAUCCAGAAAUAUCCUCAUAAGGUGACCAAUAAGGUGUCCUUUGCCAUUUCCACACUGCAAUCCUGUAAUACUUUCCUAUCUUAAAACCAGGUGGAAAAUUGAUGAUAAACGAAAACCUAGUAUCUUCAGCAUCCAUCCCUUUCUCCCUAUACUCUCUCUCCCUAGCUUUCUCUAUCGCGCAAACAGCUAAUUUGGGGUCUCUGUCAACAAUCUCAAUGUACUUAUUCCUCGUUUCUUCCGCAUCUAUUAGUCUAAAAUACCGUGGGUUUUUAAGAACAACAGAGUACUC